rnacentral:misc_RNA from 1 species
GAUGAAGAACGUAGCGAAAUGCGAUACGUAAUGUGAAUUGCAGAAUUCAGUGAAUCAUCGAAUCUUUGAACGCACAUUGCGCCCGCCAGCACUCUGGCGGGCAUGCCUGUUCGAGCGUCAUUUCAACCAUCAAGCCCCAGGCUUGCGUUGGAGCCCUGCGGCUGCCGCAGCCUCCUAAAAGCAGUGGCGGGCUCGCUAUCACACCGAGUGCAGUAGAUUACUCUUCGCUCAGGGCGUGCAGCGGGUUCCGGCCGUGAAUCCCCCUACUUUUAAAGGUUGACCUCGGAUCAGGUAGGAAUACCCGCUGAACUUAAGCAUAUCAAUAAGCGGAGGA